GUAGGUGGCAAGUGUUGUCCGGAAUUAUUGGGCGUAAAGCGCGCGCAGGUGGUUCUUUAAGUCUGAUGUGAAAGCCCCCGGCUCAACCGGGGAGGGUCAUUGGAAACUGGGGAACUUGAGUGCAGGAGAGGAAAGUGGAAUUCCACGUGUAGCGGUGAAAUGCGUAGAUAUGUGGAGGAACACCAGUGGCGAAGGCGACUUUCUGGCCUGUAACUGACACUGAGGCGCGAAAGCGUGGGGAGCAAACAGGAUUAGAUACCCUGGUAGUCCACGCCGUAAACGAUGAGUGCUAAGUGUUGGGUGGUUUCCCGCCCCUCAGUGCUGCAGCUAACGCAUUAAGCACUCCGCCUGGGGAGUACGGUCGCAAGACUG
rnacentral:rRNA from 1 species